GUAGUGGCGAGCGAAAUUACUAUUCUAUAGAAUUAAAAGUCUUUGGAUUCACAACAAAUAAAUUGUUUACACCUUUAAAAAUAGUACCGUGAGGGAAAACUUAACACUAUAAGUUAUAACAAUGAAUUUCAUAUACCUUUUGUAUAAUGGAUUUACAAGAAAAAUUAAUAGCAAAUUUUUAGAUAGAAUAAAAAUGAUAAAGUUAUUAUUACCCGAAACCUAAUGAUCUAAUUAUGAUCUUAUUUUAUGAUAUAAUUAUUAAAUGUAGAAUCAUUUUUAAAAGAAUUAUAAUUAGCGGCGAAAAACUAAUCGAAUUAGGUUAUAGCUGGUUUUCUAUGAAAGUUAUUUAAGUAACUGUUAACUCAGACUUUAAAAUAAAAUUUUUAAAGUCUAAACGGAAAGAACCAUAAUCAGAAUUAAAGAUGAUAAAUCAUUAUAAUAAAAGUUACAAAUUGUUUUAACAUUUUAAAAAUAGGACUAGAAACAACCAUAUUCUCAUUAAAACGUAAUAGUUAAUAAAACAAAUAAAAUUGUAACAAAAUCAAUCUUAGACAAAUCGUUAUUCUGAAGAAGAGUAAUAGAAUAAUUUAUUUUCUAAAUAGAAAUAAAUAAAUGAAACAAUGUAAAUAUGAUUAACCCAAUUUUAUCUCCAGAGAAUCUUAUUUCAAUACAUGAAUAAGUUUAUACAAUAUCUAAAAAAUAAAAAUGAUAAAGUUAAAAUUUAACUCAAGAAAAUAAUUACCAAACUAUUGUAUUUAUCUAAAUCAAGAGGAGAGUAAAAAUAUAAUAAAUUCUAUUAAAGGAACUCGGCAAAAUUUAUAUCGACUGUUUACCAAAAACAUAGCCCUUGAAAAAAUAAAAGGUGUCACCUGCCCAAUGAUUAUAGAUUAUAAAAAUAAAAGUUUUGAAAUAUAGUUUAAAGGACGCGGUAUCCUGACCGUGGUAAUGUAGCAUAAUCACUCGCCAUUUAAUUGAUGGAUAGUAUGAAUGGUUAAACGAAUAUAACACUGUCUCUAAUAGAAGUUUUAUAAAAUUGGAAUAAUAGUAAAGAUACUAUUUACAACUGUAAGACGAAAAGACCCUAUAGAGCUUAACUAUAAUCUUUAAUAAAUUUGUUGAGUUCACUCAACAUUAUUUAAAGAAUGGUAGUUUAGUUGGGGCGACUGUCUUUUAUAGAUAACAAAGACAAGCAAAAAUUAAAUAAAUAAUUUACUGUAUAAAAAAUUAUUUUAACAGUUAUAAAAAUAGGCUUUAGUGACCCGUUUUUUUAAAGAAUAAUAAAAAACGAUCAAUAAAUAAAAGCUACCUUAGGGAUAACAGGAUAAUUUCAUUUUAGAGUUCCAAUCGAAAAUGAAGUUUGUCACCUCUAUGUUGAAUUAAGAUACCCCAGUAGUGCAGAAGCUACUAAAGGUAGGUCUGUUCGACCUUUAAAAUCUUACAUGAUUUGAGUUCAUUCCGUCGCAAGACAGGAAGGUUUCUAUCUACAGUUAAUAAGUUAAUAAAAAAUUUUUAGUACGAAAGGAACAAAAUUAUUGGAUACAAAUCUACCCAAACCUACAAUGCAUCUCCAACUCUCGAAUGAGUAU
rnacentral:rRNA from 1 species